rnacentral:rRNA from 1 species
AGGGUUUGAUCAUGGCUCAGAACGUACGCUGGCGGCACGCCUAACACAUGCAAGUCGAACGAAGUAGCAAUACUUAGUGGCAGACGGGUGAGUAACAUGUGGGUAUCUGCCCUUUGGCCUGGAAUAACACGAGGAAACUUGUGCUAAUACCGGAUAAGUCUUUACGGAGAAAGCUUUAUGCACCAUUGGAUGAGCCCGCACUUGAUUAGUUUGUUGGUGGGGUAAUGGCCUACCAAGACUGUGAUCAAUAGCUGAUUUGAGAGGAUGAUCAGCCACAUUGGGACUGAGACACGGCCCAAACUCCUACGGGAGGCAGCAGUGGGGAAUCUUGCACAAUGGAGGAAACUCUGAUGCAGCGAUGCCGCGUGAGUGAAGAAGGCCCUUGGGUUGUAAAGCUCUUUCGUCGGGGAAGAAAAUGACUGUACCCGAAUAAGAAGGUCCGGCUAACUUCGUGCCAGCAGCCGCGGUAAUACGAAGGGACCUAGCGUAGUUCGGAAUUACUGGGCUUAAAGAGUUCGUAGGUGGUUGAAAAAGUUAGUGGUGAAAUCCCAGAGCUUAACUCUGGAACUGCCAUUAAAACUUUUCAGCUAGAGUAUGAUAGAGGAAAGCAGAAUUUCUAGUGUAGAGGUGAAAUUCGUAGAUAUUAGAAAGAAUACCAAUUGCGAAGGCAGCUUUCUGGAUCAUUACUGACACUGAGGAACGAAAGCAUGGGUAGCGAAGAGGAUUAGAUACCCUCGUAGUCCAUGCCGUAAACGAUGUGUGUUAGACGUUGGAAAUUUAUUUUCAGUGUCGCAGCGAAAGCGAUAAACACACCGCCUGGGGAGUACGACCGCAAGGUUAAAACUCAAAUGAAUUGACGGGGACCCGCACAAGUAGUGGAGCAUGUGGUUUAAUUCGAAGAUACGCGCAGAACCUUACCAACACUUGACAUGUUCGUCGCGACUCUAAGAGAUUAGAGUUUUCGGUUCGGCCGGACGAAACACAGGUGCUGCAUGGCUGUCGUCAGCUCGUGUCGUGAGAUGUUGGGUUAAGUCCCGCAACGAGCGCAACCCCUACUUUUAGUUGCCAUCAGGUUAUGCUGGGCACUCUAAUAGAACUGCCUGUGAUAAACAGGAGGAAGGUGGGGAUGACGUCAAGUCCUCAUGGCCCUUACGGGUUGGGCUACACACGUGCUACAAUGGUAAGUACAAUGAGAUGCCGAGCAGCGAUGCUUAGCCAAACUCAAAAACUUACCUCAGUUCGGAUUGCACUCUGCAACUCGAGUGCAUGAAGCUGGAAUCGCUAGUAAUCGUGGAUCAGCGUGCCACGGUGAAUACGUUCCCGGGUCUUGUACACACCGCCCGUCACACCAUGGAAAUUGGUUUUACCUUAAGGCAAGUUAUUAACCCUCGGGAAAUGCUUGACUACGGUUAAAUCAGUAACUGGGGUGAAGUCAUAACAAGGUAGCCGUA